rnacentral:rRNA from 1 species
UACGUAGGGACCAAGCGUUGUUCGGAUUUACUGGGCGUAAAGGGCGCGUAGGCGGCAUGACAAGUCACUUGUGAAAUCUCCGGGCUUAACUCGGAACGGCCAAGUGAUACUGUCGCGCUAGAGUGCGGAAGGGGGCAAUCAGAAUUUUUUGGUGUAGCGGUGAAAAUGCGUAGAUAUCAAGAGGAAUACCUGAGGUGAAGACGGGUUGCUAGGCCGACACUGACGCUGAGUGCGCGAAAAGCCCAGGGGGAGCAAAACGGGG